rnacentral:snoRNA from 1 species
CUCUCGUGAUGAGCUCCUGUGAGCGCCAUCGUGUCUGGGCCACUGAUGCACCGUGAUGGAACUGUGAGGAUCUGAAUUG